rnacentral:lncRNA from 10 species
CUUGGCCUUUUCAGGAGGUCCCCACCAGGUGCAGUUUGAGACCUCACCAUUGGUUGUAAGUUUAUUUUGCUGCACAGAUGGAAUUUAGGAUAAGCCCUCAGCUAUGUGAUCUCUGAGAAAGUGUCUAGUGUGUGUUGGUGUAAGACACCUGGUAUCUUUAGGCAGCAUGAGUCCUUUGUAAUUACUACAGGUUCUGCAAAGAACUAUUACUCUUGGCAAGGACUUUAUUGACAUUCCCUUUAGCAAACAGAGACUCGGUGAUGUUCACGGCCACCAGCUCUCAGGAAAGGCUGUUGUGGGCAGCAACACAGCUGGACAUUCCUUUGCUUACUGAUGGGAGAUUCAUAAGGAUACUUGCUCUUGGAGCCCACCUGCCCUGCUGGGAGGUGCUGGGAACACCUGGAGAGCCAUGUGCAGCUGUGUGGCCAGCAAUCCCAGCUUUGUUCCCAGCCAGCUGCCAGACCUGGGAGUGAGGAAGCCUUCCAGAAGACCCCAGCCUAGUCCCCAUCUGACAGCGACCUCAUGAGAUAUCCUGAGUGAGAUCUACCCAGCCGAGCCCAAUAAACCCAUGAAAACAUCAGAGGUUUUUCUCCUCUUCCUUUCUCUCCUCCUCCUCCUCAUGAAAAUUGCUGCAGUUUUAUGCUACUAAGUUUGGGCUGAUUUAUUACACAGCAAUAGAAAACUGAAACAUCAAUCAAUGGCACGUUGUUAGAAAUUAUCAAAGGCAGUGGGCACGGCUUGUCAUGCCUGUAAUCCUAGCACUUUGGGAGGUAGAGGUCGGCUGAUUGCUUGAGGCCAGGAGUUCAAGACCAGCCUGGGCAACAUGGUAAAACCUUGUCUCUAUAAAAAUUAGCUGGGCUUGGUGGCAUGCAUGGGUAGGCCCAGCUACUUGGGAGUCUGAGAUGAGGGAUCGAUUGAGUCCAAGAGGUCAAGGCUGCAGUGAGCCGUGAUCGCACCACUGCACUCCAGCCUGGGCUACAGAGCAAGAGCCUGUCUGAAAGAAAGAAAGGAUGAAUGAAAGAAAGAAAAGAAAGAGAAAGAAAGAAGGAAAGAGUGAAAGAAAGAAAGAAAGAAAGAAAAGAAGGAAAGAAAGAAAGAAGGAAGAAGUUACCAAAGGCCCUAUACUAUUUCCUAUUAAUAUUCCUUCUCAUUCUCCUUUAUUCUUCCUAUCUCUGUAAGAAAGCACACUAAUGAUAACUCAUAUAGAGCUUGUGCAGAAGUGAGUUUUGACCAAGUGUUGCCCCAGGUGGUCCUUGAUCAUGGAACCUGGUAGGAUGUGCUAGCAACUGUGACCAAGGCCAGGCCAUGAAGCUGCACAUCCAAGCAGGUG